GAUGAACGCUAGCUACAGGCUUAACACAUGCAAGUCGAGGGGAAACGAUAUUGGAAGCUUGCUUCCGAUAGGCGUCGACCGGCGCACGGGUGAGUAACGCGUGUCCAACCUGCCCACCACUUGGGGAUGACCUUGCGAAAGUAAGACUAAUACCCAAUGAUAUCUCAAGAAGACAUUUGAAUGAGAUUAAAGAUUUAUCGGUGAUGGAUGGGGAUGCGUCUGAUUAGCUUGUUGGCGGGGUAACGGCCCACCAAGGCGACGAUCAGUAGGGGUUCUGAGAGGAAGGUCCCCCACAUUGGAACUGAGACACGGUCCAAACUCCUACGGGAGGCAGCAGUGAGGAAUAUUGGUCAAUGGGCGAGAGCCUGAACCAGCCAAGUAGCGUGCAGGAUGACGGCCCUAUGGGUUGUAAACUGCUUUUAUAAGGGAAUAAAGUGAGCCUCGUGAGGCUUUUUGCAUGUACCUUAUGAAUAAGGACCGGCUAAUUCCGUGCCAGCCGCCGCCGUAA
rnacentral:rRNA from 1 species